rnacentral:rRNA from 1 species
GACGAACGCUGGCGGCGUGCUUAACACAUGCAAGUCGAACGGAAAGGCCCUGCUUUUGUGGGGCGCUCGAGUGGCGAACGGGUGAGUAACACGUGAGUAACCUGCCCUUGACUUUGUGAUAACUCUAGGAAACUGGGGCUCAUACCGGAUAGGAUCUCCUGCUGCAUGGUGUGGGUUGGAAAGUUUCGGCGGUUGGGGAUGGACUCGCUGCUUAUCAGCUUGUUGGUGGGGUAGUGGUUUACCAAGGCUUUGAAGGGUAGCCGGCCUGAGAGGGUGACCGGCCACAUUGGGACUGAGAUACGGACCAGACUCCUACGGGAGGCAGCAGUGGGGAAUAUUGCACAAUGGGCGGAAGCCUGAUGCAGCAACGCCGCGUGCGGGAUGACGGCCUUCGGGUUGUAAACCGCUGUCGCAUGUGACGAAGCGUGAGUGACGGUAAUGGGUAAAAAAGCACCGGCUAACUACGUG